GACGAACGCUGGCGGCGUGCCUAACACAUGCAAGUCGAGCGGAGUUAGUUUGUAGCUUGCUACAAACUAACUUAGCGGCGGACGGGUGAGUAACGCGUGGAUAACCUGCCUUUUACAGGGGGAUAACACAGGGAAACUUGUGCUAAUACCGCAUAACAUAUAGAAGUGGCAUCACUUUUAUAUCAAAGGAGCAAUUCGGUAGAAGAUGGAUCCGCGUCCGAUUAGCUAGUUGGCGGGGUAAAGGCCCACCAAGGCGACGAUCAGUAGCCGAACUUGGAGGUUGAUCGGCAACAUUGGGACUGAGACACGGCCCAGACUCCUACGGGAGGCAGCAGUGGGGAAUAUUGCGCAAUGGGGGAAACCCUGACGCAGCAACGCCGCGUGAAGGAUGAAGGCUUUCGGGUUGUAAACUUCUUUAGUCGGGGACGAAAAAAUGACGGUACCCGAAGAAUAAGCCACGGCUAACUACGUGCCAGCAGCCGCCGCUG
rnacentral:rRNA from 1 species